AUAUAACAGUUGUACAGUAUUAUUUACACGCGCGCACACCUGUCAAAAGGUUUAUGCAAACUAACAGACUUAUUACUUCAACAAUGGUACUAAUCUACAGAAACUAAAAUUAUAUCGUGCAGAGAUUUUCGUUUACGUACCAACAUUAUCCCCUCCACUUUUCGGGAAACUGUCGCCUUACCACGAACGUAAAACAGGUUGAGCCAAUUACGAGCGUUCCGCCAAUUCCGCAUUGCGCAUACGUUCCGUCCCAUGUGACCGCACCAUUACCCAAUCAAAUCCUUACCUAUCAUCGACUAAUCCAACUGCAGCGCCUCCUACAAACACCUCUGCAAUCAACAGUGACGUUAGACUUGCUGUUCUUUUUCGAAGUGUAGUUGUCCUAGGUCUGAAAUAGUUCUGAAUUCGCUGCCCCAGGUCUUUAGACAGUGCAAGAGUUCAGCCAUAAAAUUCUAGCGGAAAUUCUAGCGAAAAUGAAAAGUCUGCCGUACUACGCAUUUUGAUGAAGAACAAGAAAGAAGAACGAGAAAUUAUGGGUAUAUACAUAGAAACAAUAACACGAUGGCAGAAAAUCAAAAGGACAACAUUGGACAUAUUUCUAAGGAUGACACCGGUAAUAUAAUUAUCAACAAAGAGGGAUCCCAAACAGCACCGAGUCGACUAUUAGCCGACUGCAAGUCGGCAGAAAAAGUCAAAAGUCGACUUCAAAGUCAGACUGAAUGGCAACUUAAAGUCGACUAACAGCCGACAAAUGACUCGACUAUAGUCGACUGUCAGUCAC